GAUGCUGUGGCUCAGUGGUAGAGUGCUUACCUAGCAUGUGUGAGGCACUGGGUUUGAUUCUCAGCACCACA
rnacentral:tRNA from 1 species